rnacentral:rRNA from 1 species
UGGGGAAUAUUGCACAAUGGGCGCAAGCCUGAUGCAGCCAUGCCGCGUGUGUGAAGAAGGCCUUCGGGUUGUAAAGCACUUUCAGCGGGGAGGAAGGCGUUAAGGUUAAUAACCUUGGCGAUUGACGUUACCCGCAGAAGAAGCACCGGCUAACUCCGUGCCAGCAGCCGCGGUAAUACGGAGGGUGCAAGCGUUAAUCGGAAUUACUGGGCGUAAAGCGCACGCAGGCGGUCUGUCAAGUCGGAUGUGAAAUCCCCGGGCUCAACCUGGGAACUGCCAUCGAAACUGGCAGGCUAGAGUCUUGUAGAGGGGGGUAGAAUUCCAGGUGUAGCGGUGAAAUGCGUAGAGAUCUGGAGGAAUACCGGUGGCGAAGGCGGCCCCCUGGACAAAGACUGACGCUCAGGUGCGAAAGCGUGGGGAGCAAACAGG